rnacentral:rRNA from 1 species
UACGGGGGGGGCAAGCGUUGUUCGGAAUUACUGGGCGUAAAGGGCUCGUAGGCGGCCAACUAAGUCAGACGUGAAAUCCCUCGGCUUAACCGGGGAACUGCAUCUGAUACUGGAUAGCUUGAGUUCGGGAGAGGGAUGCGGAAUUCCAGGUGUAGCGGUGAAAUGCGUAGAUAUCUGGAGGAACACCGGUGGCGAAGGCGGCAUCCUGGACCGACACUGACGCUGAGGAGCGAAAGCCAGGGGAGCAAGCGGG